CAAGCAGCCUCACGGAAUAACGCUGGCACAGGUUUCUGAGUGGUUUGUUGUUUUGAAGAAGAUCGAACAUUAGUAGUUGGUGUCACUUGUGUACUGAUGGACAAAACAUGUUGCUGUUCACUAUUAAAGCCAAUAAUGAAUGUAAUAGAGCCUUCUGUGCAAGUAUUGGAUCUUAACUUCUUGAAAACUGAGGGCGCAAUGACAGUGUUGCUGGAUCAUUUGGGAGACACUAUGCCUAAGCUGCAGUUUUCCUCAGCUUCAAUGCAAUUUUGGCAGUUGUGUAGCAGCAGAACCAGGUUACAUGAGCUGACUGAGAAAUAUGUUCACAUUGAUUACAACGUUCUUCCACUUGUGGUUAGUUCAGAUAUCUCAAGUGUUGGUAUCACGUGAGUUACAUUUAGGAUAGAUGUUGAAGUGAAACAUCACAUUUAAGAGGAAAUUUGUUGCUUCUUGACUGAGAUGUUGAGAUAAGCAGUGGGAUAUUCAACAGUAGAUAGGAUGAAUGUUUAUGUACAAAAUGAUUGUCAACGUCCUGUAAUAUUCACAUGUUGAGUGUAUUGGAAUAUAUCCACCUCUAUGUUCUGUGUGAGUGAUACUGAAAGGAUUAAGUGGAAAUCAUCGUGGACCACAAAUCUUUCUUGCAAGGUAGCAGCCAUGUACUGAUGAACAGAACAUCUUGAUGUACACUCUUAAGGUGCAGAAUGAAUUUAGUAGACCCUCCUGUGCAAGUAUUCUUGAAAAUUGAGGUCACAGUGACAAUAUUAUUUGACCAUUUGGAAGGUACUAUACCUGUACUGCAGUUUUCCUCAGCUUCAAUGCAAUUUUGGCAGAUGUGUAAUAACAGAACUAGGUUACACGAGCAGACUGAGAGGUCUAUUCACAUUGGUCACAGCGUUCUCCCACUUGUGAUUAGUGGAUACAUCUCAAUUACAUGAUGUACGUGAGGAUACGUACUCAAGUGAAAAAUCAAAUGUCAGAUGAAAUUUGUGGCAUCUAGAUGGAUAUGUUGAAGUAAGUAAUGGAGAGGUCAACAGCAGAAAGGACAAAUGUGUAUGAUCAAUAACAUCAUGUGAUUUCUGCCAUAUUGAGUAAAUUAGAAUACAUCCAUUGCAAUUGUUUUGUGUAAGUGCUAUCCAAAGAUGAAGAGGAAACCGUUGUGGACCUCUACUCUUUCCUGUAAGCUGGUGUGUAACAUAAGAAGCGGAAGAAAAUGCCACGGGAUGCACAGUCUCCACAGCUGCACCUCCCUGCGCCAGCUUAAUGGCUUGCUGUGACCUGAUGUCCAACUGAGGAAUUUUAAAUCUGGAGCCAUUUCACAUGCAUUAAGGUAAG